UUUCUCUGAAUGCACCGGACCUGGUGGAGGCAAAUAUUGCUGGAGUUUCAUCUGGAAUCAAUGAAUCUCUCGCUUCAGUCAGUAGUCUUUUCUUGGAUUUAUCACCCUCGGAGACUCCUAGUGGAUGUAUCUUCUAUCAGUUAGUAUAUCUACAGAUCUAUACACAUGAACCAGACUGGUAUGAUCUACUUACUUGGAUGCUCGAACGUUCUCCUAAACUACAAGUUCUGAAACUCGUUGACGAAUAUACUAAACAUCGUGUGUCCGGGUGGGAAUGGAAUAAACCAAAGGACAUCCCUGAAUGUUUGUUGUUACAUCU